AAAAGUUGGCAUCUAGAAGUUUCCAGGCUCCUUGGUAUGACAUCCCUGGGAACUGUGCAGAGCUGCAGCCCUGUGCUAAACUAGAUCUCAGGACCUUCCAGCCACAAUGCUCUCCCACGACCACCACACACGGGGAAGAAAGAGUGAGGUCCAGGUAUGGGACAUUAAAGUUGGAGAAUAAAUGACUUCUUUCAAACCUGUUGGUGGAUCUCUGAAUGUAAUGGACCCUGUCCACCUGUGGAUGGAAGGAAGAAAGGAAGAAAUUAACACAUCACCUCCCUGAGGCCUGCCAUUCUAGGAGAUCUUUGCAAGAUUAAUGGCCUAUUUACCUUAUUUCCUCACCUCCCCCCAUCUCUGUUUUAUAAAGGAGGCUGGCAUCCAGACCCGGAUAAGAUGGUUAUUUUGAAACAUUAAUCUGCCAUCUUCUUGGUAGGCUGGCUUUCCAAAUAAAGUCAUAUUCCUU